CCUACGGGGGGCAGCAGUGGGGAAUAUUGGACAAUGGGGGGAACCCUGAUCCAGCCAUGCCGCGUGUGUGAAGAAGGCCCUCGGGUUGUAAAGCACUUUCAGUGAGGAAGAACGCCUGGUGGUUAAUACCCAUCAGGAAAGACAUCACUCACAGAAGAAGCACCGGCUCAACUCCGUGCCAGCAGCCGCGGUAAUACGGAGGGUGCGAGCGUUAAUCGGAAUUACUGGGCGUAAAGCGCGCGUAGGUGGCUUGAUAAGCCGGUUGUGAAAGCCCCGGGCUCAACCUGGGAACGGCAUCCGGAACUGUCAAGCUAGAGUGCAGGAGAGGAAGGUAGAAUUCCCGGUGUAGCGGUGAAAUGCGUAGAGAUCGGGAGGAAUACCAGUGGCGAAGGCGGCCUUCUGGACUGACACUGACACUGAGGUGCGAAAGCGUGGGUAGCAAACAGGAUUAGAUACCCUAGUAGUC
rnacentral:rRNA from 1 species